rnacentral:rRNA from 1 species
GUGGGGAAUAUUGGACAAUGGGCGAAAGCCUGAUCCAGCAAUGCCGCGUGAGUGAUGAAGGCCUUAGGGUUGUAAAGCUCUUUUACCAGGGAUGAUAAUGACAGUACCUGGAGAAUAAGCUCCGGCUAACUCCGUGCCAGCAGCCGCGGUAAUACGGAGGGAGCUAGCGUUGUUCGGAAUUACUGGGCGUAAAGCGCGCGUAGGCGGCUACUCAAGUCAGAGGUGAAAGCCCGGGGCUCAACCCCGGAACUGCCUUUGAAACUAGGUAGCUAGAAUCUUGGAGAGGUCAGUGGAAUUCCGAGUGUAGAGGUGAAAUUCGUAGAUAUUCGGAAGAACACCAGUGGCGAAGGCGACUGACUGGACAAGUAUUGACGCUGAGGUGCGAAAGCGUGGGGAGCAAACAGGAUUAGAAACCCCAGUAGUCC